rnacentral:rRNA from 1 species
ACAUGCAGUCGAGGGGCAGCGGGGGUAGCAAUACCCGCCGGCGACCGGCGCACGGGUGAGUAACGCGUAUGCAACUUACCUAUCAGAGGGGGAUAACCCGGCGAAAGUCGGACUAAUACCGCAUGAAGCAGGGGCCCCGCAUGGGGAUAUUUGCUAAAGAUUCAUCGCUGAUAGAUAGGCAUGCGUUCCAUUAGGCAGUUGGCGGGGUAACGGCCCACCAAACCGACGAUGGAUAGGGGUUCUGAGAGGAAGGUCCCCCACAUUGGUACUGAGACACGGACCAAACUCCUACGGGAGGCAGCAGUGAGGAAUAUUGGUCAAUGGGCGUAAGCCUGAACCAGCCAAGUCGCGUGAGGGAUGAAGGUUCUAUGGAUCGUAAACCUCUUUUAUAAGGGAAUAAAGUGCGGGACGUGUCCCGUUUUGUAUGUACCUUAUGAAUAAGGAUCGGCUAACUCCGUGCCAGCAGCCGCGGUAAUACGGAGGAUCCGAGCGUUAUCCGGAUUUAUUGGGUUUAAAGGGUGCGUAGGCGGCCUUUUAAGUCAGCGGUGAAAGUCUGUGGCUCAACCAUAGAAUUGCCGUUGAAACUG